GAUGAACGCUGGCGGCGUGCCUAAUACAUGCAAGUCGAGCGAACAGACGAGGAGCUUGCUCCUCUGACGUUAGCGGCGGACGGGUGAGUAACACGUGGAUAACCUACCUAUAAGACUGGGAUAACUUCGGGAAACCGGAGCUAAUACCGGAUAAUAUAUUGAACCGCAUGGUUCAAUAGUGAAAGACGGUUUUGCUGUCACUUAUAGAUGGAUCCGCGCCGCAUUAGCUAGUUGGUAAGGUAACGGCUUACCAAGGCGACGAUGCGUAGCCGACCUGAGAGGGUGAUCGGCCACACUGGAACUGAGACACGGUCCAGACUCCUACGGGAGGCAGCAGUAGGGAAUCUUCCGCAAUGGGCGAAAGCCUGACGGAGCAACGCCGCGUGAGUGAUGAAGGUCUUCGGAUCGUAAAACUCUGUUAUUAGGGAAGAACAAAUGUGUAAGUAACUAUGCACGUCUUGACGGGACCUAAUCAGAAAGCCACGGCUAACUACGUG
rnacentral:rRNA from 1 species